CGCCUACAUGAAGCUGGAGUUGCUAGUAAUCGCGAAUCAGAAUGUCGCGGUGAAUACGUUCCCGGGCCUUGUACACACCGCCCGUCACACCAUGAGAGUUGGCAAUACCCAAAGUUCGUGAGCUAACGCGAAAGCGAGGCAGCGACCUAAGGUAGGGUCAGCGAUUGGGGUGAAGUCGUAACAAGGUAGCCGUAGGAGAACCUGCGGCUGGAUCACCUCCUUU
rnacentral:ncRNA from 1 species